GUGGCUGUUGUCGCUGGUCGUUGGCAAGGUUUACGCAGCUCGGACGCCUUCUAAUCUCUAGGUCGCAGGUUCGAAUCCUGCCGGGG
rnacentral:tRNA from 1 species